rnacentral:lncRNA from 1 species
AUGUGGCCUGCACACACACACCUGUGCACACACACACAUACACCUGUGCACACACACACAUACACCUGUGCACACACACACACACACACACACACAGACACCUGUGCUCACAGACACACACACACACACACACACACACACACCUGUGCUCACAGACACACACACACACACACACACCUGUGCUCACAGACAGACACACACACACACACACCUGUGCUCACAGACACACACACACACACACACACACACACACACACCUGUGCUCACAGACACACACACACACACACACACACCUGUGCUCACAGACACACACACACACACACACACACACACCUGUGCUCACAGACACACACACACACACACACACACACACCUGUGCACGUGCUCACAGACACACACACACACACACACCUGUGCGCACAGACACACACACACACACACACACCUGUGCUCACAGACACACACACACACACACACACACACACACCUGUGCUCACAGACACACACACACACACACACCUGUGCACGUGCUCACAGACACACACACACACACACACACACACACCUGUGCUCACAGACACACACACACACACACACACACACACACCUGUGCUCACAGACACACACACACACACACACACACCUGUGCUCACAGACACACACACACACACACCUGUGCACGUGCUCACAGACACACACACACACACACACACACCUGUGCUCACAGACACACACACACACACACACACACACCUGUGCACGUGCUCACAGACACACACACACACACACACACACCUGUGCGCACAGACACACACACACACACACCUGUGCUCACAGACACACACACACACACACACACACACACCUGUGCUCACAGACACACACACACACACACACACACACACCUGUGCUCACAGACACACACACACACACCUGUGCUCACAGACACACACACACACACACACACACACCUGUGCACGUGCGCACAGACACACACACACACACACCUGUGCACAUGUUACGAGCAGCUCCUGUGAGAAGUGUUGGACUUGA